UUUUUAGAUUAUUAUUAUUUUUUACAUGUCAAAAUAGCAUGCUUCCCCUUUAAGAGAACUGCGUUCCAAAAGAAAUAUCGACCUGAGGUGCGUUCAGUUCGCUUGAACGUUUGCUACUUUGCAGAACGGUUUGUACUGAACUAUACGUUUCCCCAAAACGUUCUUGAACAGACUUUGAGGUAGGUUUGCUUCCAUUUGGUGGGUGUGGCUUGAAGCAAUGACCGACAUAUCUAAAGGGAAGUGGCCAUGCUGACAGCGUUCCCCAACCUCUACCUGUUUACAACUCGUCAUUCAGUACAGCACUGUUUCCGUUCAAUUUAAUGUUUCAAGAUGUAAAAACAUACUGAACUCAGCCCAAACCUCCAGACGAGCUUCAAUGACAUACAACACUCCUUCCGUGGCCUCCAGCUGCUCUUAAAUUCUAUAGGCUUCUACUAGUCUCAAGUUGACUAUAAACUGGCUGGCCUUGCCGAUGCCCUACCAUCUUUGCAGCAGUGACCUUUACCCUCAUACUGGUAACCCCCUUGAGGUCACCUACAGGAAACCAUGGAGCAGAGCUUCUCCCUCAGAUGCACUGGUGUAAGUGGACAUAUCCCAGUUUGAAGUGCCAAGGCUGACAGUCAAUGACUCUCACUGUGAGAUGGAUAUCAAGUCAUCAGAAUGUUGCCUACUCAGAUGGAGAUGGACCUGCCCCUCACCCACUCUCCCAAGCCCAGCCUGACCCAGCUCAGUCUGGUCUCCUCCCAUCUCCCAGCAGAGCAGAUCUCUCCAGUCUACAGACAUGUCACAGGUGAAGCAGCAUGCACCACAGCCACCCACCACAGAACCAAGGCCUGGAUUAGAUCAAGUCUGUUGCCUAGUUCCUCCUUUUGGUAGUUCCUCCUAGUAAGUCAUCAUUCAGGUAGGUCCUCCUAGCCAGUUAGCAUUUCAGACUGAUCCAGUGAAGAAUUACAUCACUACUCAAUAUUUUGUAUGAAGUCUGCCAGGAGUUUGACUAAAUGUUCCGAAUUGGUCAAUUGAUACAUUUAAGUACAUAACUAUAGAGAACAUACAAAAAUGCUUCGUCCAAACUUUUGACUGUAACUGUAUAAUAUGACUUUACUUGAGAGAAGCCUGUCACGUUCACUGUCUUCAAAGUCCCUGUCAUAAAUGAGCCAAGGCGCAGCGUGCAUGUAAUUCCACAUCUUUAAUUGAAGAGAAACCUUCACAAAAAACAGGUAAACAGAAACCGAACGUGACGCAGCCGUGGCGCACACAAACACUCACGAAAAAUAAAUAAUUACCCACAAACACAUGUGGGAAAAGGCUGCCUAAGUAUGAUUCCCAAUCA